UGGCCCUAAACUGUAAUUUCUAACCUUGUAGCUAAUUUGUUAGUCCUGCAAAGGCAGUCUGGUCCCCAGGCAAGAAGGGGGUCUUUCUGGGAAAGGGCUCUUAUCAAUUUUGUUUCAGAGUCAAACCAUGAACUGAAUUCCUUCCUAAAGUUAGUUCGGCCUACACCCAGGAAUGAGCAAGGACAGCUUAAAGGUUAGAAGCAAGAUUGAUUUGGUUAGGUCUGAUUUCUUUCACUGCCGUCAUUUUUCCUGUUAUAAUUUUGCAAAGGCUGUUUCAGCAUGGUUUCACGGCUGUAUACUCAUCUCCGUAAUCAUCAAGUUGUAAGCGUUAAAUAUGCAUGGCUUCCUCUGUGUUAAUUAGACCACAAUAAAGUGGUUUAGAGAAAGAAGAAACAGCAGCAAGAGACAUGGCCCUUGUCCUCCAGGGGCUCAGCACCCAAGCAUGCUGGCAAGGAGUCAGUCACAUACUGCAUGGCAAAUGCCAUGACAGGACACUAAGGCAGGCACAGAUGGUGGGCAGUGAACCCAGGCCUAUGGGCAUCACGGGAGACUUCCUGGAGGAGGUGGUAUUGUUGAGAAUGAAGAAUGAAAAUGUUUGCUGAGUCACCAGAGGGGAAAAGGGAGUGUGCAAAGACUUGGCAACAGACCAGAGCCGGAUAUAGGCUGGGAACGGCCAGUGGGAAGUGUGAUGGGCUUGGGGGUGUACGGUUGUCAGGGUUGAAUUGUAUCCCCCAGAAAAGAGACAUUGAAGUCCUAAACUGCAGUUCCUCAGAAUGCGACUUUAUUUGGGAAUAGGGUUUUUACAGAGGUGAUCAAAUUAAAGUGAGAUCAUUAGGGUGAGCACAAGUUUAAUAUGACUGAUACCCAUUUGAGAAGGAGAAAUUUAUUUAUUUAUUUAUUUUUAUUUUUAUUUUUAUUUUUUUGGAGUCUUGCUCUGUCGCCCAGGCUGGAGUGCAGUGGCAUGAUCUCAGCUCACUGCAACCUCUGCCUCCCAGGUUCAAGUGAUUCUCCUGCUUCAGUCUCCCGAGUAGCUGCAAUUACAUGCGUGUACCAUCAUGGCGGGCUAAUUAUUUUUUUGUAUUUUUAGUAGAGACGGGGUUUCACCAUGUUAGCCAGGCAGUCUCGAACUCCUGGCCUCAGGUGAUCCACCUGCCUUGGCCUUCCAAAGUGCUGGGAUUACAGGCGUGAGCCAUCAUGCACAGCUGGAAGGAGAAAUUUGGACACAGAGAUAUGCAUAGAGGGAAGUCAGAGUGAAAGGACAGAGACAGGAAGAGGCCACAUGAGGAUGAAGACAGAGCCUGGAGUGGUACAGCUGCAAGCCAAAGAUGGCCAGUGAACACCAGAAGCCAGGAGGGAGGACGUGGCAGCUUCCCCUUCGCAGCCCUCAGAAAGACACCAAGACUGCGAUUUCCAGCUGCCAGACUGUGAGAGGAUGAAGGACCCUGCAACUUCACUCCUGGAUGUGCAGGAGAAGAGCUCAAGAGCACUGAGCUCAUCCAUCCACCAGAAGACGCAAAUAAGAAUGUUUAUAGUGGCAUUAGUUACAAUAGCCAAAAAGUGGAAGCAACCCAAAUGUCCACUGACAGGAGAAUGAAUAAACAAACUGUGGGAGAGCCAAACAGUGGAGCAAUACCAAUGUCUCCAUUAACGGGAGAAUGAAAACAUAAACGGUGACAUAUUCAUAAGAUGGAAUUCUACAAAACAGGAGAAAAAGAACCGACGACUGAUAUGCACAAUGACAUGAAUUAAUUGGGUAAGUAUUAUGUUGUGUGGCAGGAGCCAGAAACAAAGGAUUUGCUGUAUGAUUCAAUUUGUAGAAAUUCGUGAAUAGGCACAAAUCACCUAUGAUGACAGAAGUCACAACACUGGUUAUCU
rnacentral:lncRNA from 10 species